GUCCUUACACUAUCAUCAAGCUGUAAUAAUAAACCAUUUAGCAAAUACAACAUCUACUGUCUGUACAGAUUUCCAGGUUGCCACCGUGGCAGGUUAUAAUAUAAAAUCAGGUUUCCAGGUUGCCACCGUGGCAGGUUGUAAUAUAAAAUCAGGUUUCCAGGUAGCCACCGUGGCAUGUUAUAAUAUAAAAUCAGGUUUCCAGGUAGCCACCGUGGCAUGUUAUAAUAUAAAAUCAGGUUUCCAGGUAGCCACCGUGGCAUGUUAUAAUAUAAAAUCAGGUUUCCAGGUAGCCACCGUGGCAUGUUAUAAUAUAAAAUCAGGUUUCCAGGUAGCCACCGUGGCAGGUUGUAAUAUAAAAUCAGGUUUCCCAUGUCAAAGAAUGGGGGAUAUGCUGUGAAGUCUAUGAAGAUAGACCCAGUAAGUCACAGUUAUUCAUUGCAAAUCAAUUGAGCAUUUCAGGCACACAAAUUCCAAAUACUGACAUUGAAAAGUUUCACUAAAAAAGUGUACAACUAAAUAUCGCAUAUUUAAAAUUGAGUACAAAGAUAGCAGAAAACACAUUUAAUAAGUAGCAACAUCAACGAAAUGAUAGCAUCAUAACUCAGAACAUUACAUAAAAGGAUAUUAAAUUCACUACCCAUUUUAACAAACAUGUCCCUUUUCAAAAAACUUAAAUGAGAUCACCCUUGAUCAGCUCUGUACAUGGGGAAGCUGUGCUUGCUGUCCAUCCCAGGACCCCUGUCUGCCUAAUGAGAGAGGCCUGAGCUGUCCAUCACAGGACCCCUGUCUGCCUAAUGAGAGAGGCCUGAGCUGUCCAUCCCAGGAUCCCUGUCUGCCUAAUGAGAGAGGCCUGA
ensembl:lncRNA